GAUGAAGAACGCAGCGAAAUGCGAUAAGUAAUGUGAAUUGCAGAAUUCAGUGAAUCAUCGAAUCUUUGAACGCACAUUGCGCCCGCCAGUAUUCUGGCGGGCAUGCCUGUUCGAGCGUCAUUACAACCCUCAGGCCCCCGGGCCUGGCGUUGGGGAUCGGCGGAGCCCCCCGUGGGCACACGCCGUCCCCCAAAUACAGUGGCGGUCCCGCCGCAGCUUCCAUCGCGUAGUAGCUAACACCUCGCGACUGGAGAGCGGCGCGGCCACGCCGUAAAACACCCAACUCUUCUGAAGUUGACCUCGAAUCAGGUAGGAAUACCCGCUGAACUUAAGCAUAUCAAUAAGCAGAGGA
rnacentral:misc_RNA from 1 species